rnacentral:rRNA from 1 species
UGAACGCUGGCGGCGUGCCUAAUACAUGCAAGUCGAGCGAACAGACGAGGAGCUUGCUCCUCUGACGUUAGCGGCGGACGGGUGAGUAACACGUGGAUAACCUACCUAUAAGACUGGGAUAACUUCGGGAAACCGGAGCUAAUACCGGAUAAUAUAUUGAACCGCAUGGUUCAAUAGUGAAAGACGGUUUUGCUGUCACUUAUAGAUGGAUCCGCGCCGCAUUAGCUGUUGGUAAGGUAACGGCUUACCAAGGCAACGAUGCGUAGCCGACCUGAGAGGGUGAUCGGCCACACUGGAACUGAGACACGGUCCAGACUCCUACGGGAGGCAGCAGUAGGGAAUCUUCCGCAAUGGGCGAAAGCCUGACGGAGCAACGCCGCGUGAGUGAUGAAGGUCUUCGGAUCGUAAAACUCUGUUAUUAGGGAAGAACAAAUGUGUAAGUAACUAUGCACGUCUUGACGGUACCUAAUCAGAAAGCCACGGCUAACUACGUG